UAUGUUUUCUGAAUUUUUGUUGCGUUUCCGAAUUGUGUGGUUUUUGUUUUGUUUUCAGAAUUGUUAUCUGUUUUGCAUUUCUCGCCACUAUCCAUAACCUUAAAAAAUGAAGGUAAAAUUGAUUCCCCCCUGCAUUAUUGUCACUGGGGUAUAGCACGGUGUCACGAGGCCCUUUUUAGCGGGACUUCAAUUGAUUACACAAACAGAUCCAUCAAAGUCCUCAUCUUCUGGGUCUGAAUUGAACAGCUUUCUUCAUCAAACACACAUGGUUCCCUCUCAUCAUGGUUGAUCACUACCAGCAUACGUAGUGUACGUAUUACGUCCCUGUGUCAACGGGAAAUGGUCUGACAGUCAGCCUCGCGUGUGGAGACUUCAGAAGAUGCCAGACCUCACAAAGAUUUCAGAUGAUGGAAACUAUAGAUGAACACGCAAAGCUGCUAAAUCAUUUUUAUAUUGUAAUCAUUGCCCUAAAAGGGAGGAACUUGUCAGCAAAUCUACUUCACAGCACAUCAGUGAAAGCAGUUAACAGUUACAGACGUGUGUUGGAUCAGGGACAGAUCUGAAUUCUGCAGGUUUCCUGUGAUGACAGUUGAAGAGAUCAGCACAUCAGACCACACUGACUUCUUUGCAUGGGUAGCUGACUACUACUACUAUGUUCUGUGAAGGUAUUAUUAUAGCAAACCUGAGCACCUGUAACAGUGUAAAUGUUGUAAUGAAUAGUCACACAUGCAUAUUUGUAAAUUGAAAGUCACAGAUACAUUUUUUUUUAGUACUAACAAUAUAUGUUUUUUUUUUUACUAAUUCUCUCCAGCAAACACAACACAACAAUUACACCAUUUCACAUUAUGAGGUGCACAAACCCUAUUUUACAAAUAAGAGAACAGUAUAGACCCUUUGCACGUGACGUCACCCUCUAAUCGCGCGAAUUGUGUACGCCAUGACGGACGGCAGAAGAGCUUUGCUGUAGGAUGGACGGCAAGCCAAACGAGUUUGUGUUCGUUCGUGUAAUAAAAUGUUUUUUUGUUUUUUUUACUUGAAAGCACAAUGCAGUGUUAAUGGUCAAACUGUGUAUUUACAAUGUUAAAGUGGCUGAAAACAAUAAAUAUUAUUAUUAGGAAUAAAACUUAUUAGGAAUAAAGCAGUAACGUUAGGAAUAGUUAGGCCUACUACACUACUGUAAUUUUAAUAUCGUCAUUGUGGUGGUACUUGGACAGCCAAAUAUUUUCUGAAGUGGUACUUGGUAUAAAACGUUAUAGACUGCAUUAGAAAGUUGCAUUGGCACACAACGGUAACUUAAGUGGGUAGCCACGAACAACCAGGUCCUUUAAAAACAGGUUAUGUUAAGUUACAAAGAACUGGUAAGCAUCCAGGCUUUUAAAAGCUUUGACCUCAUCACCAGUGUAUGGGGAUACCCCGUUUACCACAUAGUGGUACAGAUUGUGUGGAAUGAAGUCGGGUAGACUCGGCGAUUUAAUGAGGUCCGUGAAAACGGAGGAAAAAGGUAAGGAUCGGUAUCCAAUCCCACGAUCUCCAAGUUCUCCAAAUACCGUUCUUUGUGAGCGCCUACCAGAUGCCCUACCUCGACCGAUAACGGCACGACAGCUUGUUCAAUAGAAGAAGCCAUAAAGUUUAGUGUUUUUUAUUUUAAACUGAUUGAAACUUCCACUACUAUUUAGCUUGUGCUUCCGGUGAUUCUGCCGUCCGUCAUGGCGUCGUCACGUGGUCGUAGUCACGUGUUUGCAAAAGGAUACAAGUGCUCAGUUUAGCCCCUUUCACACUGAGAUUCUAGAUAAUACACGGGUAAUGUGUCCUGGCAAUUGUUCCCGGAUCAUUAGAUUUUGGUUCAUUCACACUGCCAGUGAUUUUCCGGAAUCUGUGUGUGCGUUCACACACAAACCAUAAAGACACAUGACAUUACAAUGUGACGUGUUUUGUUUCACUUAAGCUGGUGAACGAUGUCAGCUUCAGAACGGAUAUUGAGGAACUAACUGAUCUCCACUUCAUUACAGUUUGCACAUAUUUUUUCGUCACAAACAUUGAUCUGCCUUUUUUUAUAGAACCACCGUGCAUUGUGAAAGGGGCUUUAGUCUAGCG